ensembl:ncRNA lncRNA:CR45567 long non-coding RNA:CR45567
AUUCUACGAUUAUUGUUUUUAUAAACUAUUUAGUUAUAUGGUGGUUUUUUUUUAUGUUCCACACAGACCGUUUAUGGACCGUCAAAUUAGCUUGCAUUACCAGGCUCAAUCGUAUGGCCAAAAUCAUAUGGACUAACCAAACAGUCGAGCUGAAAAGCGAAGUGCAAUAAACGCAACCGAAAUUUAAGAACCCAAUAAAAUGGAGCACUAAAAAAGCGAAAGUUGACCUUGGUGCUCUUGAGCGACAAGAAUCCGGGCCGAAAUCGCGGAUCCAUCCAAACGGUUGCACCCCCAAAAACUGGCCAGCUUCGUCAUCGCGAUAAUAGCCAAGGCAAAUUGCCAAGUCAUUUGGGUUUUUUACCUCUCGAUAUUCUAACAAAUCGACUAGCAAAUAGCGCCGUUCAAAGACAAACAGAAAAAGAAAACAGCGGCCAUAACAAAUCAAACUCAAAGUCCAGAAGCUGCAAAUCUAAAAAGGUAAUUGCCAGGGCUAAUUCGGCAUUUGGAGUGUGUGGAAAAUUCGUCGCGUCACCGCAUAAUUAUUCGAGGAGUCUCGAUGACGAGAUGAUGGCCAGUAGUGUCUGGUAAUUUGCCGUUUCAGCCGUGAUUUACUAUUGACUCUGGUGUCGGGCUGCUUGAUUUAUUUUAUGGCCAGACGGAACGCAGCGUACGCCUCCAAUAUGUUCUUAACACACAAAGAAACCUAUGCUUUCAAUACCCUUCACAACUUGAAGAAGCCAAGGAAUGAUAUAUACUAUAAAGAUCUUGGAAUUGGUCGCUUACUCUCUAAUUGCAAAGUCAAGCAAAUGCCUGAAUUUAGUGGUGAGCAAUCUAAUUUGGGAACACUUCUGGGAACACUUCUCGACGGAAUUCCCGGAGUGAAAAUAUGGUUUGUGACAAUGUGCAACUUCGCCAUUCAAUGCAAAAAUAAAAUGCCCCAUCGAGGGUAUAAAAGUAUCAGUCACGGUAGAAUGCAGAAUUACCAACACAUUGGCUGGAAGACACACAUGGACAUGGCUGAACGGAAGCCAUUGAAAUUCAGAGCGGGUUCAAAGACGCUCGGCCACGGCAACAAAUCGUGCAAACAACAACUCGCCGAAUUGCAUGGAGCAACAUCUUCAUUCCCGGCGAUUUUAUUGGGGGGUAGGGGAUCGUCGGUUGGUUGGAUGGAGGAUAUAGGAAUGGAGAUGGAGAUGGUGAUGGGGGCGGCAUAAAGACGCAGUCACCAAAGCGAUUCAGAGAAAUGCAUUCUAGUGCCUUAUUGAUUGCGUUUCGCGUGCCACGCCAGAGUGCAAAAACUAUGAAAAUCUAUUAAUUCCACUCGGGGAUAGGCAAAUGCAUCUCAAGUGGCUCGGACAGGGGAAACCGGUGAUGGAGGAAAUGGGGGAUCUGGCGGAUCCGGAGGAGCAGCGGCCAAGUGGCUGACGUCGACACGGACAUGGCUUUUGGGCCGUUGACAGGUGUUGACUGCGCUGCGAGUCAGGCCAUUAAUGAAAACAGGUACGAGUCGUAAACAAUGUACGAGUUUUCCGACUACCAGAUACCCGGUGGUGGUCAGUCGUUUAUUUCGUCGAAAAUAGCAUAGUUUCAAAUGGAAAUUAGAUACAGUGCGCUCCUUGUCGCUUUACUUUAACUUUAAUUGAAAUGGAAAUCAGAGGCUAACUGACGUCAAUUCGUUUGCAUAGCCGACAGCUAUUAACUUUAAAAUAUUAGUCUAUGUACUUCGCAUUUUAAUUAAAU